CCUACGGGAGGCAGCAGUGAGGAAUAUUGGUCAAUGGCCGAGAGGCUGAACCAGCCAAGUCGCGUGAGGGAAGACGGCCCCACGGGUUGUAAACCUCUUUUGUCGGGGAGCAAAGCGAACCACGUGUGGUUCAUUGAGAGUACCCGAAGAAAAAGCAUCGGCUAACUCCGUGCCAGCAGCCGCGGUAAUACGGAGGAUGCGAGCGUUAUCCGGAUUUAUUGGGUUUAAAGGGUGCGCAGGCGGAGGUGCAAGUCAGCGGUCAAAUUGCGGGGCUCAACCCCGUACUGCCGUUGAAACUGCAUCCCUUGAGUGCGCGAGAAGUAUGCGGAAUGCGUGGUGUAGCGGUGAAAUGCAUAGAUAUCACGCAGAACUCCGAUUGCGAAGGCGAAUUGCUGGACUGUAACUGACACUGAGGCACGAAAGCGUGGGGAGCAAACAGGAUUAGAUACCCGAGUAGUC
rnacentral:rRNA from 1 species